rnacentral:ncRNA from 2 species
CGUUACCACAGGGGGGGCUUUAAGCUGAGAUUGAGUGUUUCACUCUGACCCUUUGAACCUGUUCGUUAAUACGAGCGUAGGGAUUGUGGCGAUUGCAUUUU